ACACAUCUAGGGAGUUUGCUGUUGGCCUGCGAAGACCCUUUAUGGGACAUGGAUCAAAGGUGCUGUUCCUCGAGAUACUUACCUCCAGUGUAGGAUCCUGGUGUCAAAAGGAAUCGUUAGAUAUGGCUCCAUUGUACAUGGCAUGACUUGUAUAGCCAGACAGAGCAGGUAUAUAUGUGGAAACUUCUGGAUGCCCGCCCUUGUGAGUUCACCUCUAUGUCUACUCUACUGAGGCCUCUCCUUACAGGUAGAGUGACUUGUGAGAGGCCUGUUACAUCCUCAGGCCACACCUGGUAAGGGAAGCGCAGGUCUCAGUUUCCUGCCUUCCUGGGAAGUGGGGAAAGGCUGAGAGGCCCCGUGCUGGGGGACGAAGCUAAUUCAUUAGUUACGCCUCAACAAGGGCCGGGUGCCUGCAGUGCCAGCGUGAUUCAUCAUGAUGAUUGCCCCACUGCCAGCCUGCGUGGGCCUGGAACGCCAGCACAUUUUACCUUUACCCACUGAGAAGGGCCUGGUGGGAGGUGAAGGUACAGGAUCUGCCGAGAGCAGGAAAAAGACUCUGAGAAAGAAGAGGGCUGGUCCUCCAUGCUCUCGGCCCCAGGAAGCUCUGCCAGGCUGGUGCCGGGGUGGAGAGGCUCAUGUGGGCUCAUGUGGUGCUGCCCGUGCUGAUGGAGCCCAAGAGGGCAGCCUGGCGCUGGGUGCCAGCCUGAGCAUGUGGCGAGGCUGGGCUGCUGAGCCUCCUCCUCCACAGCCAAUGUUCCCUUGGUGAAACUGCUCGGGGGUUGGGGGAGGGACUCUCCUCAUCCCAUUAGCCUGGCUGGGUAUUCCCUACCUUUCUGGUCUCUGAGAGGCUUACCUCUUCCAAGAAGUCCUCCCGAAUGAGUAGAAGGGAGAGAGCUGGAUUGGAACUUAAGUGACAUCUGGGAGGAGCCUGAAGCCCCUCCGGGUGGGGCUGAGACUCCUAUACCCUAGGUCUGGUGUCUGGCUUCCACCUGGGUCCUCUACCUUGGCCUGGAUUCCUGCUUUCAUUCUGCCAGUCUCUCCCAGGAUGGGGGUGCAUGGCUGGUUCCUGGCUCAGAGCAACAUCUGCCUCUGUGUCCCCCCAUCAUCUGUCCGCCGCCUAACACCUCUUGCCACAUUAGAAUUGCUAUUGCUCUGUCCUUUCAUUCAUUUAUCCAACAAAUAUAUAUUAUCUGAAAAAAAGCAUGUGCUGAAUAAUUUCAUUUGUGUGAAAUUCAAGAACAGGGAAAACUGAUUCAUGAGGAUAGAGGUCAGGAUCAUAGUUGCCUCUGCAAGGUGGGGAUUGACCGCAAGAGGCUUGAGAGAACUCUUGGGUUGAUGGAAAUGGGACAGGGGUGUGUACAUUUGUGAAAAUGCAUCCAAGAAGACACGAUCUAUGCAUUUCACUGUAUGCAAUGUUUCCCUCCACUUUUUUUAACGUUAAAUUUUUUUCAGCAAGGCGCAGUGGCUCAUGCCUGUAAUUCCAGCACUUUGGGAGGCUGAGGCAGGUGGAUCACCUGAGAUCAGGAGUUCGAGACCAGCCUGACCAACAUGGUGAACCCCUGUCUCUACUAAAAUACAAAAAUUAGCUGGGCGUGGUGGUGGGCGCCUGUAAUCUCAGCUACUUGGGAGGCUGAGGCAAGAGAAUCGCUUGAACCCAGGAGGCGAGGCGGAGGUUGCAGUGAGCCAAGAUCGUGCCAUUGCACUCCAACCUAGGCAACAAGAGCAAAACUCUGUCUCAAAAUAAAUAAAUAAAUAAAUAAAUAAAUAAAAAUUUGCAUUGAAUGUCUACUGUAUGCUCUAGAGCCUGUGCCAGUAGGGAAGGAGAUGCCCAAACCUCCCUGGCCGGGCAGCUUAUAUUCCAGUGGGGAUGGUUCCCAUCCUCCCGUUGCAUUGGCAACUGCUCUCUGCCCUUGGGCUGUCUUCCAUCCCCCUUCCCCUGCAGUGGGGAUGGCAACGGGCGUGGGCCAAAGGGCAGCGUGCUGUCCUGAAGUCAGUCCAUUCAGCCAGUUACAUGGGUCACACCAGCCGGGUUCAAGAGAAGGCAGGAGGCAGGAGGCUUGGAGCCCGAAAAUUUGGCUCCCGGGCUGCAACCUCUAUGCACUGUGUGACCGUAAGCAGGGUGCCUAAUCCCCGCGAGGCCACUUCUCUCAUCUUUCAUGUGGGAUUAUAAUGCUGUCUUUGUAGCUUUGU